AUCCUGGCUCAGAUUGAACGCUUGGCGGCAUGCUUAACACAUGCAAGUCGAACGGUAACAGGUCUAGCUUGCUAGAUGCUGACGAGUGGCGGACGGGUGAGUAACGCGUGGGAAUCUGCCUUCUAGUGGGGGAUAGCCCGGAGAAAUCCGGAUUAAUACCGCAUAUGCCCUACGGGGGAAAGCCGGGGAUCUUCGGACCUGGCGCUAGUAGAUGAGCCCGCGUGAGAUUAGCUUGUUGGUGGGGUAAUGGCCUACCAAGGCAACGAUCUCUAGCUGGUCUGAGAGGACGAUCAGCCACACUGGGACUGAGACACGGCCCAGACUCCUACGGGAGGCAGCAGUGGGGAAUAUUGGACAAUGGGCGAAAGCCUGAUCCAGCAAUGCCGCGUGUGUGAAGAAGGCCUGAGGGUUGUAAAGCGCUUUCACCUGUGAUGAUGAUGACAGUAGCAGGAGAAGAAGCCCCGGCUAACUCCGUG
rnacentral:rRNA from 1 species